rnacentral:rRNA from 1 species
CCUACGGGGCGCACCAGUGGGGAAUAUUGCACAAUGGGCGCAAGCCUGAUGCAGCCAUGCCGCGUGUAUGAAGAAGGCCUUCGGGUUGUAAAGUACUUUCAGCGGGGAGGAAGGUGUUGUGGUUAAUAACCACAACAAUUGACAUUACCCGCAGAAGAAGCACCGGCUAACUCCGUGCCAGCAGCCGCGGUAAUACGGAGGGUGCAAGCGUUAAUCGGAAUUACUGGGCGUAAAGCGCACGCAGGCGGUCUGUCAAGUCGGAUGUGAAAUCCCCGGGCUCAACCUGGGAACUGCAUUCGAAACUGGCAGGCUAGAGUCUUGUAGAGGGGGGUAGAAUUCCAGGUGUAGCGGUGAGAUGCGUAGAGAUCUGGAGGAAUACCGGUGGCGAAGGCGGCCCCCUGGACAAAGACUGACGCUCAGGUGCGAAAGCGUGGGGAGCAAACAGGAUUAGAUACCCCUGUAGUC